CUCCUACGGGAGGCAGCAGUGGGGAAUUUUGGACAAUGGGGGCAACCCUGAUCCAGCCAUUCCGCGUGAGUGAAGAAGGCCUUCGGGUUGUAAAGCUCUUUCAGCAGGAACGAAACGGUGGCCCCUAAUACGGGUUGCUAAUGACGGUACCUGAAGAAGAAGCACCGGCUAACUACGUGCCAGCAGCCGCGGUAAUACGUAGGGUGCGAGCGUUAAUCGGAAUUACUGGGCGUAAAGCGUGCGCAGGCGGUUAUGUAAGACAGGUGUGAAAUCCCCGGGCUUAACCUGGGAACUGCGCUUGUGACUGCAUAACUUGAGUGUGGCAGAGGGGGGUGGAAUUCCACGUGUAGCAGUGAAAUGCGUAGAGAUGUGGAGGAACACCGAUGGCGAAGGCAGCCCCCUGGGUCAACACUGACGCUCAUGCACGAAAGCGUGGGGAGCAAACAGGAUUAGAUACCCUGGUAGUCCACGCCCUAAACGAUGCGAACUAGGUGUUGGGGAAGGAGACUUUCUUAGUACCGCAGCUAACGCGUGAAGUUCGCCGCCUGGGGAGUACGGUCGCAAGAUUAAAACUCAAAGGAAUUGACGG
rnacentral:rRNA from 1 species